rnacentral:precursor_RNA from 9 species
UGCAUAGGAGCUGCGUAUCGCUUCAACCGAGCGGGUAUGGUUGUGUUCCAAAGCCGGUAGUGAUAGCGACACUUUGGCACAAUCACACCUGCUCAGGCGGAAUUGCUUAGUGCAGUGUUCAUUG